rnacentral:rRNA from 1 species
AGGACGAACGCUGGCGGCGUGCUUAACACAUGCAAGUCGAGCGGAAAGGCCCUUCGGGGUACUCGAGCGGCGAACGGGUGAGUAACACGUGAGCAACCUGCCCCUAGCUCUGGGAUAGCUCCGGGAAACCGGGAUUAAUACCAGAUACGACCACUUUAGACAUCUUUUGUGGUGGAAAGGGAUUCCGGCUAGGGAUGGGCUCGCGGCCUAUCAGCUUGUUGGUGAGGUAACGGCCCACCAAGGCGACGACGGGUA